ACUGCAGAUGUACCCCACGAGGCUACAUUUACAUUGCUACGUUUCGGUUUAAAAACAAAUAUCUUUUUCCACGUUUACACCUCGCAUUCAUACGGCUCUUGUGUUUCAGAGCCCCUAAACCGGAAAAAUUUGAAAACACUUCUGACCCUGUUUUGGGUUGGAAUCUGCAGGGUUGUGUUGCGAAAAACGCAUAAGUGGCGUUGCGCUAUCACUUUUUAUUCCGCGUUUAUACGAGCGGUUUGGGGGGGAAAUCUGCAUGCAUAUGGUGACGCAAAAGUGUGUGAAAUUCGAUAGUAUGGACACCAGGCGGCUAGGUGGUAGUUUGAGUCCACGCGCCUGCGUAGAAACUUCCUUCUAGUUCUCUCCCUAGUAGCGCGAAACCAAAACAUGGCGAGGCGAACAACAAAAGCUGACAAUUUUGUCUGGACAGACGAGGAGGUGGCACAACAGGGCGUGGACUGGGAGCCCUGCCAGUCAAAAUAUAUAGACAUAUGGACCGAAUUUCUUCAGCAGUAUCCUGUACCUGGAGGGACGUCAUAUCCACACAAGAAAGACGCUAUCUGUAAAAGUCAGAUAUAUCGUCAAAGCUGAAAGCCAUCCAGACCGAGUAUAGGCAGGCUGUGGAUACCCAACGGCGGAGUGGCCAUGGGCGAGUAAUCACUCUAUAUUUUGAUUUAUGUAACGAAAUAUGGGGUGGGUCGCCAGCCACCACAACAAUAGAGGCUGCAGACUUUUGCGUUUUUACCCUUUAGACGGGAACGUGACGGUGGAGCGUUUUUAAGAUUUCCACUCUGGAGGGUGGUUUCACUUUUUUGCAUUUUUAAGCCCGAAAAAUGCCGUCGGCGUCUAAACAAAAGGCACAUCUGAUAAAAUAUUUUUAUGUUUUCACCCGCGAGCGUUCUCGUGUAAACAGGGCCUAAGCUACUAAUGUUACCUUGGCAACAACCAGCAACGGGCAGAGUAUACAUGCUGCCUCCUGUUUAUGCCCAGUAUACCAGAAUGUUGAUGAGAUAUGCGGUUUGGGGGUGUUAGUUUAAACAGAGAUUACUUCUUCUACUGGAGCUAAAAAACACUUGCUGUGCACAGAGAUUGCUUUUGGCUGAAAACUCUGCUUAAAAACCAUAACGUAGCGGUGUAAAUGUAGCCU